UGGGGAAUAUUGGACAAUGGGCGAAAGCCUGAUCCAGCCAUGCCGCGUGAACGAUGAAGGCCUUAGGGUUGUAAAGUUCUUUUGUCAGGGAAGAUAAUGACGGUACCUGAAGAAUAAGCACCGGCUAACUUCGUGCCAGCAGCCGCGGUAAUACGAAGGGUGCUAGCGUUGUUCGGAAUCACUGGGCGUAAAGCGCGCGUAGGCGGCGAUACAAGUCAGAGGUGAAAGCCUGGAGCUCAACUCCAGAACUGCCUUUGAAACUGUAUUGCUAGAGUGUCGGAGGGGAUAGCGGAAUUGCUAAUGUAGAGGUGAAAUUCGUAGAUAUUAGCAGGAACACCGGUGGCGAAGGCGGCUAUCUGGACGACAACUGACGCUGAGGCGCGAAAGCGUGGGGAUCGAAAC
rnacentral:rRNA from 1 species